GUUGUAGCUCAGUGGCAGAGCACUUGCCUAGCAUGUGUGAGGCACUGGGUUCAAUCCUCAGCACAACA
rnacentral:tRNA from 1 species